UUCACUGACAGUAUAAAGAGCAUGAGUUCUACAGCUCCUCUGUGGAACAAGGGAUCUCUUAGUUUUCAAGACUGGCAUUUCUGAAGUAAAGAUCAUAUUGCUCCUUUCUGCUGUCAAGAAAAUUAUCUGUUAACGGGAAAGUGAAGACCACUGCUGGCAUUUGAUAGAGCAGACUUAGUACAAAAGACAACGCCUGAGAUGGAGAAUGUGGCUCUAGAGCUCUGGGGAUUUGCAUGAAUUUACUAUUAUCGUACGCUGUACAACUGCAAAGUAUUUCUGUACUAUUCAAAGGUAAAUAAAUCAGUUGUGUAAAAUGAAUAAAAGCUAUGAAACAUCCAGAUGGAGCUUUCUAACCAUCAAAACGAUCUUGACUUCUGUGCUAUGAAACUUAAGUCAUGAAGACAGGAAGGGGAUGCAGAACACUUGGAUCAGUAUACUGACCUGGAAAAAGGGGAAUUCAAGAUAAUUCAGACACAGUGAUGUGCAUCAGUAAUACAGCAUGGAGGACUUCAAAUGUCUAUAUGCUCCCUUGAUAUGCAGUGGACAGAGAUCAGCAGUUCCAGAUGGUGGUCUAAUCAGCCAAAGUCCAAGUGAUUCCUUGGGAGUGCCUCACAGGAGAAGAAACCUAGGGAGACUGGACGUAUAUAGCUAGGAAAUUCAGUGCUCUACAGUGAGAGAUGAAGGCUACAUAAACAAAUAUCCUUCUGAAUGAGGAUUCAGGCACUGAACUGGGACUCACCGUGGGAAAAAAAGCUCAAGCGAGGCAAAAUGAGAUUAAGGCAAUGGGGGAAAAUAGAAAAGAACUAAAAAAAAAAUAAAUUUUUUUUUUUUUGUUCUUUGGGAAAUCUCAAGGCCAUGGAUUUACAUUCUCUACUUAGGAUCACUUUUUUGUAAUUUCAGAAUGAAUCAAGGAGUGUGUAGGUAGAUACAUCAUGGUGGGGGAAGCUGCACAAACAAGUUUAAAAACACAUGGAAUUGUUCUCAUUAUCAUGUUCUGAAUCAUAGGAAUGUACUAUAGUAAUCAAAUUUAAUAUUGCAAAAAUAGGGUUUUUUAAAAAGUGCUCAAGUUCUGCACAUAAAAACCAUUUUAAAUCCCUUGCACAUGUUUUAUGAUUAUUUUGAUGCCUCUUGUGGCUUUGAGCACAUACAGUAUCCCACACACACCUAGCACGCAUCCCAAACAUCAUUAAUUUAAGAAAGAGGCUUACGUCUGAUUCUGCAGCUCCCCACUCCCGCUGCUUCUGCUUCAGCUGCAGUCAUAUUGAGGUUUGUGACAUCUCACUUACAGGAACAUCAUUAGAGAGAAUUAUGACCUCAGGUGAGGGAGAAGCAGCAGGAGUAGAUGAAAUGAUCAGAAGUGAGUCUCAUGUUUGUGUAGAAACAUUUGUGAGAUCAAAUUUAGAGAUCAGAAAAACAGAGAGAAAAAAGAUAAAGAGUAGUACAUGGCUGGAACUUUCCCUGAUAGAUUGUUUUCCAAAUUUUUCUGGAAGCAUCUGGGACCAAGACUCCAAAGGCAGUGACAUUUUACUUGCCAAAAUAUAACAGAGGAAAAAUUAAAAUGGGAUCACAGCACAUAAGUCUGAAUUAAUCUUUCUCUCCUCUUUAUCUUCCUUUAACUUUCAUAUAUGACCUCCAUCACAAUAAAGUCUAAGAGUCUGGGCAAACCUACACUGAUGUAAACUGAUAUAGUUCUUCAGUGAAGCUUCAUUAAUUUGUAGUGCUGGCGAUAUGACCCUACUAACAUCAUUGGAAUUACAUUUGAUGCCUACUACAAAUUCAGAAAAUGGCUUUGAAAGACAUGACUGAUUAUGCUACAUUUGCUUCUUUGAAAGAAAGUGGAUAUUUCUCUCUGGAACUUUUAAUCCCCUAUGACAUUUCAAGUGUAACUAGUAUAAUCUUAAUCAGAAUCAAACCCAAAGGAUCAAGAAAUGAAAAAGAGUAAUUAUAUUAUCAGAUUAGAGGAAAAAUUACCACAGUCUUAAAGGGAUGACAGAGGCUUCAUUGCUAUGUGAAAAAUGUUUCAUUUCUACAGAAAAAAAAGAAAUCUUAUCACGUACUUCAGUGUAACCUUCAUGUUGUGUUUUGUGGGAGGUAAGCACGUGAGAGAGCAUAACGCACUCUGGGUUUCCGAGCAGAGUAGGAAAACCAGAAUUUUGUCAGUCUGAGGAUGAGGGAGUGCAGGUGCAAGGAGAAGAGCUGGGGUAGAGGAAAGGGCUGGAUGAGCUUCCCAGAUCCUCUUGCUGGGGAGGGAUGGAAGGAGUAUGGAGAAUGACCAGUAACUUUUUUCCUUUUUUUUUCCCCAGUAAUAGCCAUUACUCCAUUCUCCUGUCUGGAGUGGCAGAAGUGGCCAGCACACCAAUGGCGUAGGCACAGCAGCAAAGAAACUGUGGCCAUGUUGUCUCUGAUGGUCUAUGGUUAGAGGUAACCACCUCCUCUGUCCUCUGUAAAGCUAGAAAUGGCUUUGUCCCUACAAAGAUUAUUGAUCUAAAGUAUAAUAGUUUCAUCCAGGAAAUCUAUAGAUUUAUUAACUUCUCAAAGUUAUGAAAAAUUAUUCUGGAUUAAAUUCCACAGGCCCUCACAGCAAUGUCUACAAAAUGUUAUUAAUAUUUGAAGACUCUCUUUAGUGUUUUGCUAUGUUUGCCUUGCAUUUCUCGGUCUACGCUAAUCGAUGAAGCAAGGUCACAACAUGGUCUUGUAACUCUCUUGCAAUCACCCACAAGCAUUCAGCCCUUGCCAUUUGUCACUCAGAAGCUAGUACAAGCCAGGAAAUAUUCCCACAAGGCAGUUUUUUCCAUCACCACCCUGGGAUUUUUGGGAAAUAAGAAAGUUUAGCUGUUUAGAAAAAAGUGUUUCUGUACCAAGUUGACCUCGCAGAGAGGAAUGUGCUUUAAUUGGUUUCCUAGGCAUAAUCCAACACUUUAUCGGGUGCAGACUUCUAAGGACCCUCUCAAUCCUUUCUCGGACUUCGAUAUGAUAGACUGGGCAUCUUCCAAGCUAGAUGUUAGACACAUGAGCAUGAAUUGAUUGCAUUCAUAACUCGUAUUUAGAAGCAGAACUUAUUAACUAGGGUUCGGUGCUGUGUUUACUCAGUUUCUGACUAUUUUCUUGUACAGACAUGUAGCCAUGAAGCUCUCGACAGGUGACUUUCAUGACAUAACCAAAAAUGUAUUUUCCAAAAAGGAUUUGUCACUUUGGAUUGUAAAUUCAAGAUGCCAGUGAUUUAGCUGUUUAAUUGAAGAAACUAGUAGAAGUUGAAAUUUCAGUACCAUUAUAUUAUUCUGCUACAAUCAAUAAUAAAAAAUACAAAUUUGAUCAGUUGCCCUGACUUCUAGCUUUGUUUUGCCAACACAUAUCAGACUCCCAGUCAUGCUGUCAUCUGAAUUGGACUGCUACUUUCUUUGGAUUCUCUGCUAGCAGUAUGGGGUCUUUUGCUGAACUGUUGGCUUGCUACUUUUCUAAUGAAGUGAACAGGACGGGAUAUCAGGAAAAUUGAAAAUGGGAGCACAGGGAAAGAGUAUUGAUUAUACAACUCAGAAUGGACUUGACAAUAACAACUUCUUCCUACCUGUCCUUGAAAACUCAGCAAAAAACUUCAGGUACUUACGUAUUACUUUUUGUCAAUUUAUUUCAAGGUAUUUCACAACAUUUAUUUUUCUUAACUUAAUGUGGGAUACAAAAAUAUGGUUCUUCCAUCCAUCUGCGUAUUUCAUAAUCUUUAGUUCCUGUUUUUCUGACUUGCUGCAUUUAUGAGUUGGUCCUGGGAAAAUCGUAACCUCAUGAAUAUGUAGUCUGCUUCAAGUAUAACCAGCAGACUUUUAAUUGCUGAUGUUCUCAUGGCAGAAUAAAUCUCUAUGUUUUUAAAAAUUUAAAGUUUUAAGUGUUUCAUUCAAUGUAAUAUAUUACCUAUUGAGUUACAUUACAUUUGGGAUUCUGUUUCAAAUAAAUUCAAAAAUCCUUAGUUUUUAUAGUCUUCCAGGCCUCGUGAUGGACUUUUAAAAUCUUAAUUAAUUCUUAGAGUCUUUAAAUAUGGCCAUUAAAGAGACUGCUGUUCUUUCUCCUUCACAAACUUUGGAAAGUUGGUUGUAAAGAGGAGAGUAAAGAACAUUUAACCAAGAUGAAAAUCCAAAGAGCUGUAUUUCAGAGUGAGUGUAAACAUAUAUUUCUGUUCACAGCUCAGUGUAUUUCAGACUUGUCCUUUAUGACAGCAAUCAGAAAAUUACUGAUGUGCCUUUAGCUGAAAUAACUCAUUUAACAAAAUAAGGAAUAAAAAUUAUAAACACUUGUUACUUUGUUUUCAAGUAUGAACAAGAAAGAGGAUUGCAGUAUUCUCUGAAAAUUUAUAAAAAAUUCAAACAAGUUGGUAAUGCUCUAAUAAAAAAAGGAUUAAUUUUAACAGUUCUAGCAAUAGCCCCAUUUCAGUAAUGCUAUUUUUCUUGAGUGUAAGUUAUUAAUAAUGAUUAUGCUCGUAACUGUUUUGCCAUUGCCAUAAGCUUUGUACUGUGUUUGCAAGGCCUUGGAACUGAUGCUUGUCAGGCUUGCUCUGUCUGAACUCUUCCUGACAUGCCAAAAUUUUUUUUUUUUAUUGUUAUUAUUUGAUUUAGUUGUGAUAGCAAUUUCUCUAAUUGACCAGGUGUCUGUAUCUAAUUUGUUUUACUUUUACUUUGGUUUAUGUCUGUAGUGGUAGAACCAUAGUUUUACACAGAUAGCAGUAACAAACCAUGGUCCUAGGGAGAAUGAGAUUGUUACGGCUCUACCAUGAUGAGAAUCUCAGACCUGGGGUGACAGCAGAGACUUUGAGAAGUGGAGACAUGCAAAGUGGUGUAGAAAAGGUGCAAACAAGGAUGUUAAGAGGUGGAGCACAGGCUGGCACUGGAGAUUCCAUGGCUGUAAAGAGUUCUCCAGUGGUCAGUUAAAGAACUGCAGACCUGGAGGUGGACAAAAGUGGUUUUAGGGGCAACAAAGUGAAUAAAAGGAAUAGUAUCUGACAUAUGUAAUGGAAACCAUAUAUAUUGUAAAUUUGGAUGUAAACUGGAGCUGCAGAUGAAGGAAGGAAGGAAGAUGUGAAUGCAUGCUAGCAAGCUUAUAAAGAUGACCCCAAGUGGACCCUGGGAGGAGGAAGAAGAAACCAUCAUGAACCAUCAUUUGUCUUACCAAAGGACUCCAGAAAUGAUGACUUGGUGUAAUACCCCUCCACCAUCAGCACCACAGUGAAAACACCAGUGUUAGGACUCAGAGGAGCAGGAGCAGGGUGAGAAUAACCCAAGAAGCAAGAGUAGAAGCGAAGAAGUGUGUGUUGUAAUUUUAACUGUGUUACUGUCACUGUGAUUUUUUCUCUUAAUAAGUACUCUAUCUGCAUUACUGUUUUUUUUUCUUUUUCUGUAAUAAUUGGAUCUAGAUUUAUGAUAAUUCUUGAAUAAGACUGUAGAGACUUUCAUUACACUAACAAUCAAUUCUUAGCUUUACAUAUAUAUAUAUAAAAAUAAGGUUUGUUUCUUUUUUGCCCAUAAACAAGACCUCAAGCAUAACAUACUAAUGAAAGUUCUCACCCUAUCCCAGUAACUAUAUAUUUUAAAAUUGCCCUAAAUCUUAAAGUAAGAUUUUACACUUUUACCAACUAUAGCCUAAAUAUUAAGAUUACAGAAACCUUGUUUUUCCAGAUAUGUAGCCAAAAUUAUUAUCAUGCACCCCAUGUUAAGUCAGCAGAAUGCAUGCAUGUGAUCACAGAGAGAAAGAGGGGGAAGGAAGAAAAGCCCUUGCAACCAUAAAUGAAAAGCCACUGUCUUUCUGCCAAAUUCCGUAGAUCUAAAUUCAAUUGAACUUGGUAACCUCUAGGAUAACUCCAUCAUUAGCAGAGUUAUACAAGUUGGAUAAAUUGCAAAAAUGCCAUUGGGUUUCAAAUCUGAGAUAUUUCAAUAUUGCAGUGAGCUCUGAGUUUGAGCUUUUGAAAGCACACGUCUGAACACGUCAGUGAUACGCAGUUGAAUUGAGAAAGAACUGAUGAAAGUAUUGGCAUUGUUUGUAACCUUAUUAGGUACUGUGACUACAGACCAGGUUUUAUUCCCACCAAACACAUUACCCCCACCUUGAAAAUGUUGUUUUGUGCUUAGAACUGGAGGAACACAGGACAAAAAGACUAGAAAACACUCUCAUACCUUCCUGUCAAGUCACACAUGAGCAUGACAUAGUGCCUCACUCAUAAACAGGCAGUCUUCACUAUCAAUUACUCUCCUGAAAAUUUUGCUGGCUUCAUAAGUAUGAAGUGGGCUAAAUAGUUUAAAUUGAAACUGGAUAUAUAUUAGUUCACCUACUAAUGGAAAGCUACUGAGACUGAAGAUUUUUUCGACAUGGUGGAAAGAGAGAAACACAGAGUAGUUGUUCCCAUCUGUUUUUUUGAUACUGAGGGAGGUGGUGCAAGUGCUCACCAAGCCACUUUCCAUCAUUUAUCAGCAGUCCUGGCUAACCAGGGAGGUCCCAGUUAUGUGGAGGUUAGCAAAUGUGAUGCCCAUCUACAGGAAGGGCCAAAAGAAGGAUCCGGGGAACUACAGGCCUGUCAGUCUGACGUCGAUGCCAGGGAAGGUUAUGGAGCAGAUCAUCUUGAAUGACAUCACAUUGCACACACAAGGAAACCAGGUGAUCAGACCCAUGGGUUCAUGAAAGGCAUGCUCUGCUUGACUAACCUGAUCUCCUUCUAUGACAAGGUGACUCACUUAGUGGAUGAUGGAAAGACUAUGGAUGUUGUCUACCUGGACUUUAGUAAAGUCUUUGACAGCGUUUUCCCACAGCAUUCUCCUGGACAAACUGGCUGUUCAUGACUUGGACAGGCAUAGUCUUUGCUGGGUAAAAAACUGGCUGGAUGUCCAGGCCCAAAGAGUUGUGGUGAAUAAAAUUAAACCCAGCUGGUGUUCCCCAGGGGUCAGUAUUGGGGCCAGUUCUCUUUAAUAUCUUUAUCAAUGAUCUGGACGAGGAGAUCGAGUGCACCCUCAGUAAGUUUGCAGAUGACACCAAGCUGGGUGGGAGUGUUGAUCUGCUUGAGCAUAGGAAGGCUUGACAGAGGGAUCUGGACAGGCUGGAUCAAUGGGCUAAGGACAAUUGUAUGAGGUUCAACAAGGCUCAGUGCUGGGUCCUGCACUGGGGUCACAACAACCCCAUACAAUGCUACAGGCUUGGGGAAGAGUGGCUGGAAAGCUGCCCAGCAGAAAAGGACCUAGGGGUGGUGGUUGACAGCCGGCUGAACAUGAGCCAGCAGUGUACCCAGGUAGCCAAGAAGGCCAACAGCAUCCUGGCUUGUAUCAGAAAUGGUGUGGCCAGCAGGACUAGGGAAGUGAUCAUCCCCCUGUAUUUGGCACUGGUGAGGCUGCACUUCGAGUGCUGCAUUCAGUUUUGGGCCCCUCACUACAAGAAGGACAUUGAGGUGCUGGAGAGUGUCCAGAGAAGGGCAAUGAAGCUGGUGAAGGGUCUGGAGCACAAGUAUUAUGAGGAGUGGCUGAGGGAACUGGGGUUGUUUAGCCUGGAGAAAAGGAGACUGAAGGAGACCUGAUCGCUCUCUACAACUACCUGAAAGGAGGUUGUAGCCAGGUGGGUGUUGGUCUCUUCUCCCAAGCAACAAGUGAUAGGACAAGAGGAAAUGGCCUCAAGUUGUGCCAGGGGAGGUUUAGAUUGGAUAUUAGGAAAAAUUUCUUCACCGAAAGGGUUCUCAAUCACUGGAACAGGCUGCCCAGAGAAGUGGUGGAGUGACCAUCCCUGGAGGUAUUUAAAAGAGGUGUAGAUGUGGUGCUUAGGGACAUGGUUUAGUGGUGGCCUUGGCAGUGCUAGGUUAAUGGCUGGACUCGAAGACCUUAAAGGUCUUUUCCAACCUAAACGGUUCUAUGAUUCUAUGAUUCUCCCACAGCUGGACAGAUUAAUCCAAUAGAAAGUGAUUUGUAAUUGGUAGCACAGUAGAAAUCAAUAAGUGGCAUCUCAGUUAUUAUUGUUGUGAUUACACAGUGGGUUUUGCUAAUUUGUAACUGGUUAGCUGGUUCUAUGUAAGUAAAUUUUUUUAUUAAAGAGUGUAUUCAGAAAUUAAAAAAAAAAAGAAACAGGGAAAUGGCAACUUAGACAUUUUAGUUCAGUUUAAGAAAUAAUAAUUUUCUUUAUCUGGAGUCAGAAUGCUAAUAAAGAUGGAAGCAAAAAUUACUCUAGAAGUCUUCGGUAUUUUCUCUUCACCAAGAAAAAAAAAUAAAUAAUUAGAAUUAGAACAAAUGCUCAAAGAUUGCUGUUGGAUCAAGAGUACUGAAUGUUCAAGGGGUGAAUGGAAGUAGUAAGACUGGGAACAUCUUUGGUGCUGCAGCCAAGUUACACAGCCAGACAAAGCUGCCUAGCAGUCAGAAAUCUCUCCCUUGUUACACUAUGUGAGGUAUCCAGAAUGCAUCUGUAUAAGUAGUUUUUCUCUAAGAAUAACUUGCUUAGAGAAAAGAACAAUUUAUGCCAUAUCUGUCUCAUUUAAAACAUAAACCAGAAAAUCUGUGUGGUUGAGGCAUGGAACACUGCCAGGAAAAUAUCAACAAUACAAGGGGAAAAAAAUUCUACGUUAUAUACCCGCUUUGCAUUUUUACUGCUAGCACAAUUGUUGACAUUGUAAAUUGACUCUUAACAUCAUAAAUGGCUUCCCACACAUUGUAAAGUAAAUCCCGUAGACUUUUAUUAGUAUCAUAAAUGGCUUCUUAACAUGUAAAUGGCUUUCUUCACAUGGCAAUGUAAAUCCCACAGGCUUUUAUUGACAACAUAAGUCAUAUAGUGUAUUGCAGUUUGCUAUCAUUGUUGGUUUUCAUUUAAAAACUAAAUAAAAGUUUGGGGAAAUAAA